GAAAAAGCUUCUUGAUGUUGGUCUUGACAAUGAUGUUUUGGAUAUGACCCAAAGAGCACAGGUAACAAAAGCAAAAAUAAACAAGUGGUACUAUUUCAAACUAAAAGUCUUCUCCAAAGCAAAUAAAACGUCAAUAAAAUGAAAAAGGAGUCUAUUUACAAAUAUACAUUUUUCUUUUUUUGUGUUAUUAUACUUUAAGUUCUGGGAUACAUGUGCCGAACAUGCAGGCUUGUUAUAUAGGGUGAAGCAAAAUAUAAGCUGCAAAAAGUGGAAAACUGAAGGACCUGACAUCCCCUCCAUCAUUCUCCAGGCCUGAAAAUAUGCAGCUUGUGAACAUGUAUUACAGGAUCCUGCAUUAAAUCCAGCAACUUCUUUUCCUGCUCAUAGCUCAUCUCAAUAUAAUCGAAGUGAUUUUCUUUUGAUGAUUACAAAAGCUAUGGCUGAGAGGCUGGGAAGCUUUGCAGAGAUGCUAGUUGACACAUGGACCUGGAGAGGCAAAAACUGCCAUUCAGAGAUCUGCAGGUAUAGAGUCUCUCAGCUGGAAAAUCUUAAAAGCUACACCUUAAGAUAAGGGUUAACUGGAAGAAGACCAGUCCUCCCCCAAAAUCUCAAAGCCCAAUGGCAUGCCCUUUCAAUCCAUUAUGAAGAAAUUUUCAUCAAAAAAAUUUUUUACUCUGAAUAAAGAUAACAUCCUGGGCCUUUAUAAUAUUUCAUAUUUUUUAUUAUAAUGUCUUGUACUUUAUAAAAAAUGGUUAGAC
rnacentral:lncRNA from 1 species